CGCGCCCCGGCGGGGGCGGCCGCGGCCGCACCACGUGACCGGGGCUAUGUAAGGCGCGCGCUGGCGUCGGGCGCCCCUUUCCGCUCUCGCGACCGCGCGGGCUCCGCGUCCCGCCCGCGGCCCCGCCGUUCAACAUGUAUCAGCUACACUCGUCCUUCCUGUGGCUUCACUGCAGAUCUGCCCCCAAAUGUGGAGACCUAAUACUCCUACCCAAGGAUUUGAAUCCUGCACUUCAGAGGGAUGCAGAAGGAGCAUCAUCUCCUGGCACUGGGAAAUUAAACUGUAAGCUGUUACAAGGCUGCCCUCGACAGAGGAGCCCCAUCCCUCUUGUGUGAGAAGCCAUUUCACCUGUUCCUGAUGUUGGUGAAGACAAGGCCUUCCUAAUUAAAGGCUUCCAGAUGUUUGUCAUUGUGAGGUGUGACAGAGCUGGGAGGUGAUGGACCUGGUAGUGCUGCCAGCAAAAGGUGAUGCUUGCAUGGAGUUGGAGAAAUAAGAUGAAUGUGUCUGAGGAAGGGACUGUGCUGUGCCUGCAGCCUCACUGGGUGAAGAGGCAACUCUGAAACUAGCAUAUGAAGAAUUGAGAAGGUGGAAGAUUGCUGCUGAAUGGGUUACACUUGCAUGAACAGCAUUUUAAAAGCCAGUGUGUUUUUACCUUACUGGUCAUGUUUGCCUGAUAUUGAUUGGAGUGAAUAAAAAUCUGUAAACUCUA